rnacentral:rRNA from 1 species
UUUCCGUGGCAUGGGAUGGGGUCGCGUCCUAUCAGCUUGUUGGCGGGGUGAGGGCCCACCAAGGCGUUGACGGGUAGCCGGCCUGAGAGGGCGACCGGCCACAUUGGGACUGAGAUACGGCCCAGACUCCUACGGGAGGCAGCAGUGGGGAAUAUUGCACAAUGGGCGCAAGCCUGAUGCAGCGACGCCGCGUGCGGGAUGGAGGCCUUCGGGUUGUAAACCGCUUUUGUUUGGGAGCAAGCCCUUCGGGGUGAGUGUACCUUUCGAAUAAGCACCGGCUAACUACGUGCCAGCAGCCGCGGUAAUACGUAGGGUGCGAGCGUUAUCCGGAAUUAUUGGGCGUAAAGGGCUCGUAGGCGGUUCGUCGCGUCCGGUGUGAAAGUCCAUCGCUUAACGGUGGAUCCGCGUCGGGUACGGGCGGGCUGGAGUGCGGUAGGGGAGACUGGAAUUCCCGGUGUAACGGUGG